rnacentral:rRNA from 1 species
UGGGGAAUUUUGGACAAUGGGCGAAAGCCUGAUCCAGCAAUGCCGCGUGUGUGAAGAAGGCCUUCGGGCUGUAAAGCACUUUUGUCCGGAAAGAAAUCCUUGGCUCUAAUACAGUCGGGGGAUGACGGUACCGGAAGAAUAAGCACCGGCUAACUACGUGCCAGCAGCCGCGGUAAUACGUAGGGUGCAAGCGUUAAUCGGAAUUACUGGGCGUAAAGCGUGCGCAGGCGGUUUGCUAAGACCGAUGUGAAUCCCCGGGCUCAACCUGGGAACUGCAUUGGUGACUGGCAGGCUAGAGUAUGGCAGAGGGGGGUAGAAUUCCACGUGUAGCAGUGAAAUGCGUAGAGAUGUGGAGGAAUACCGAUGGCGAAGGCAGCCCCCUGGGCCAAUACUGACGCUCAUGCACGAAAGCGUGGGGAGCAAACAGGAUUAGAUACCCUGGGUAGUCCACGCCCUAAACGAUGUCAACUAGUUGUUGGGGAUUCAUUUCCUUAGUAACGUAGCUAACGCGUGAAGUUGACCGCCUGGGGAGUACGGUCG